ensembl:lncRNA
CCUUAGACCACUGCACCACUCGGGAGCCCACAGGUGAACCAGGGAGCCACAUCAAUCCAUGCUUUUGCCUGGCAGCCACGAGGGGAUGUUGAUCGAGAAGAAACAAUAACUACUGCUAGCUGUGGUGUAGAGGCACUUUUUGGCCAGACACUUCUGCCUGAGGAUCCUGAAGGAGAUGAGGCUGUCCAAGCUCAAGGAUCUCAGUGCCAGAAUCGCCAAGACGCACCUGGGACUGGAGACGCAGCUGAUUGGCCACAGUUUCCAGCAGGAAACUGGAGAUGGGGGCGGAGCUCCUGCAGGCCAACGCCCAGCUGCUGGUGGGACACGCCCUCAGCCAGGGCCUCUGGCAGCAGAUGGAUCAGGCCCCUCCCAGGUCCCAACCUGACCACAGCAGGAAG